rnacentral:lncRNA from 1 species
CGGGAAUGCACAGCAUUGCAGGCUUCAAGUACAUCCAUUCUUGAUAUUAAACCAGAUUCUGAAAAUAAAGAUGGAGAUACUGGAUGGCCUGGUAUGAUGAGCAUACGGGUAUAUGAACUUGAUGGUAUGUAUGACCAUCCAAUUCUACCUAUGGCUGGGGAAAGAAGGCAAACAUUGGAAAAACAAAGUCCAUUCAGGGAUUUAUAGGAACUUGAUGGUAUGUUGAACCAUCCAAUUCUACCUAUGGCUGGAGAAGCAUGGCAACUAUUGGAAAUACAAUGCCAUUCAAGGCUUGCUGCUAGACGCUUUCAGAAGCCUAAGAAAGGUUUAAAAAUUGAUGGCUCUGAUGAUAAUGGUGAUGUGCCUUCCAUGGAUAUACGCUCGAGG